GAUGCAAACUCCGAAUACCGAAGAAUGUUAGUCACGGGAGACACACGGCGGGUGCUAACGUCCGUCGUGAAGAGGGAAACAACCCAGACCGCCAGCUAAGGUCCCAAAGUCAUGGUCAAUUAAAUCCCUGGCACCGGCGAAUCGGGUGCCUGUCGGUCGGUUUAUCACCGCCGGGCGGCCGCCUGUGGCGGCGCUCGCAGGGCGGUAAUAAUGUNGAAUGCCUUCACUAAACGAGUAUGUUAG
rnacentral:rRNA from 1 species